rnacentral:sRNA from 3 species
AUGUACCGCGCGUACCCCGGUUUCUCCGCGACGUCCACACCACCUGACGACUGCUCGCUACGUUUGUUAGCC